GGUGUCUGAAGGAGGAGGUUACUGCGUUCCUUGAUGUCACCACCAAUGUGGUAGGGCAGACCACAGUUGGCGAAAGAAACGAACGGCCCCCGUUCAAACAUGAUGAUGGUUGCGUCUUCACUCAGUCUGCGAGCACGAGCUGCCGCGGAGGCACCGCCUGCUACGCCAC
rnacentral:antisense_RNA from 1 species